rnacentral:lncRNA from 1 species
AUUGGAAUCAUCACAUGGAUUACCUGGAAGUAAUGAAUGAUGGCUUGAAAUUCUUGGAGGAUGUUGGAGGCAAGUUCUCAAUACAUCAUUCCUGACAGACUAAUCAGUGUCAAGGUGGCAAGAGCUCAGCCAUGUGCCAUUUCCCUUAACAUAAUCUCAGGGGUGAUGGAUUCUGGAAACUUUGUCCCACUGGAGUGGGACAGUGAUCCCACAGGAUCAAUGUUAGUGGGAGGAAGGAGCAUUUAGCUGUCAAUCUUGAUCCCAUGUGCAAUGCCAGUGUCUCUUUCCGUGUGCUCUGUGCAGCCACGGAGAAGAGCAGAGAGGGAAUGGGCCAGGCUCAGGGCUGUGCCCCGGGGCUGUGCCUUGUGCGGUUCCUUUGCUGGCCCUAGGGAGCCUGAGGAUCUCCUACAGAGCCACAGGAGCUGUUCUGUCCUGCCUCUCUUUGCAGCCAAGCCUCUCGGUGAAGGUGAUGCAGCUUCCCAACCCACACCCAGGACUGAGGCUCUGGGAGAUGGUGAGGUUACAGGUGUGUCUGCAGGGAGGACUUUGCCAGCUCCUGGGAUGGUUACUGCACACAAGCCCAGCUCCCAUCACAGGGGUCUUCCAAGAGAGAAAACCCAAAAUACAGCAGAAGAGAAAUCCCUGAAACAAUCUGAAAUUAUACGGCAAAUGCUGAAGGAAAUGCUGCAGGGAGGGCAAGGAAUGAAACGAGAGCCUGUGCAGCAGGAAACAUUCCCUGAAGGAAUCAUUGAUUCUGUGCCUAACUCUGCUGCAGGAAGGGAGGCCAUGCCAGGCACAGUAACACAAGAUAAGUCUCGGGGCAAAGCUUCUCCAAUAGCUUGGCUGCAUAAAGUUGUGAAGCCCUCUGCGCCUCCUGCAGUUACAGGUAUGUCUGCAAGGAGGAUUGUCCCAGCUACAGGGUUGGUUACUGCACCCACGACUGGCUCCCAUCACAGUGGUCCUCCAAGAGAGAAAACCCAAAAUACAGCAGAAGAUAAAGCCCUGAAACGUUCUGAACUUAUAUGGCAAAUGCUGAAGGAAAUGCUGCAGGGAGGGCAAGAAAUGAAACGAGAGCCUGUGCAGCAGGAAACAAUUACUGAAGGAAUCAUUGAUUCUGUGCCAGCCUCUGCUGCAGGAAGGGAGGCCAUGCCAGGCACAGUAACAAAAGAUGAGGUUCCUGGCAAAGCUUCUCCAUUAGCUUGGCUGCAUAAAGUUUUGAAGUCCUCUGCGCCUCCUGCAGGUGUGUCUGCAGAGAGGACUUUCCCAGCUCCUUUGCUGAUUAGUGUGCAGAAGCCCCACUUCCAUCGCAGGGGUCCUCCGAGUGACAAGGACAAACGUAUAGAAGAGAAGGAAUUCCCGGAGUCAAACAACAUCCAGAAACAAAUUGUGGAGGAACUGCAGAAAGGGCCUGACAUGCACCUAGAGGUUCUGUGGAAGGCAGCAUUUCCUGCAGGCAGCGGUCACUCGUCGGCAGCCUCUGCUGCAGGAAGGAAUGGGAUGGCACACAUGAGUACAGGCCCAGACACAGGAGAUUCGGAUGCUGGGAAGGCUCCUCCCUUUGCUUUGAGAUAUGAAGAUUUGAAGCCCUCUGGGACACCUGCAGUUACAGGUGUGUCUGCAGAGAGGAUUUCUCCAGCUCCUGGGCUGGAUGCUGCACACAAGCCUGACUCCCAUCCCAGCGUUCCUCCAACAGAAAAGACCAAAUACACCUCAGAGAAGAAAUCCCUGGAGUCAUUUGAAGUCAUGUGGCAAAUGCUGAAGAAAAUGCUGCAGGGAGCACAAGAAGUGCAUGAAGAGGCUGUGCUGAAGGCGGUGUUUCCCGGAGUAAGCAGUGGCUCACUGGCAGCCUCUGCUGCAGGAAGGGAGGCCAUGCCAGGCACAGUCCUAGGAGAUUGGGAUCGUGAUAUGGAUUAUGUGGAAGCCCUGGUGGAAAAUGGCUUGAAAUUCAUGGAGGAUGUUGGAGCCAAGCCUCUAGAUGAAGGUGAUGCAGCUUCCCAACCCACACCUAGGACUGAGGCUCUGGGAGAUGAUGAGGUUACAGGUGUGUCUGCAGGGAGGACUUUGCCAGCUCCUGGGAUGGUUACUGCACACAAGCCCAUCUCACAUCGCAGGGUGGUGGACCAAAAGGCUGAGCUCCAGGAGGCAUUUCCCGGAGGAAGCAGUGGUUCAUUGGCAGCUUCUGCUGCAGAAAAGAAGGCGAUGCCAGGCACAGGCCCAGAUACAGGAGAUACAACCAGCACAACACAAGUUCCUGAUUCAAAGAAGGACAUUGAAAGGGCUUUCUGUCAGGGAAUGUUCUGCUGGAUAGAGCUAAUAGCAGGCGUGCUAUGUUUGGAGCUUAUCAUCAUGUUGUGCUGCUUUGGAAUCUGGUAUGCCUGUAAGAGAAAACGGAGGACUGCUGAACAGCAUUUGAAGUACAGUGGGUGCACUAAACACCCAGACAGCUCGAGCAGCACCUCUGGGAGUAAUAAGGGCCUGGGCAGCCCUCUGAAGAACUCUGAGAGGAGGAUCCCGGAACACUAUCUCUGAGGAAACCUCUUAUAACCCUGUAGAUCCCACUGCCCUCUCUUUUUCCCAUGGAUAUCCCCAAGGUCCCUUCACUUCCUUUUUUGGUCUUCCUCUGCCCCAACCUAACCCAUCCUUAGUUCUUGUAGAGACCCCAGGACCAGCCCAGCAACCUCCGGCCCCAGCUGGGACCAACAUGGUCCUUCCUCUGUCCCUGAGCCCCCUGGCCCUGCCCUUAAACAGCACUGAGCUGAGUGAGCCCAUCUGCCAGUGUAGGUGAUGGCCCCUUCUUCUCUUCAAAUAAAUAAAUGUAGCUG